rnacentral:rRNA from 1 species
CCUACGGGUGGCAGCAGUGGGGGAUAUUGCACAAUGGGGGAAACCCUGAUGCAGCGACGCCGCGUGUGGGAAGACGGUCCUCUGGAUUGUAAACCACUGUCCCCAGGGACGAAGAUGACGGUACCUGGGGAGGAAGCUCCGGCUAAAUACGUGCCAGCAGCGGCGGUAAUACGUAGGGAGCGAGCGUUGUCCGGAAUUCAUGGGUGUAAAGGGAGCGUAGGCGGGGAUGCAAGGUGAGUGUCAAAACUACCGGUUCAACUGGUAGUCGCACUCAAAACUGCAGCUCGUGAGUGAAGUAGAGGCAGGCGGAAUUCCUAGUGUAGCGGUGAAAUGCGUAGAUAUUAGGAGGAACACCAGUGGCGAAGGCGGCCUGCUGGGCUUUUACUGACGCUAAGGCUCGAAAGUGUGGGAAGCAAACAGGAUUAGAUACCCGAGUAGUC